rnacentral:rRNA from 1 species
AACGAACGCUGGCGGCAUGCCUAACACAUGCAAGUCGAACGAACCCUUCGGGGUGAGUGGCGCACGGGUGCGUAACGCGUGGGAACCUGCCCUUAGGUUCGGAAUAACUCAGAGAAAUUUGAGCUAAUACCGGAUAAUGUCUUCGGACCAAAGAUUUAUCGCCUUUGGAUGGGCCCGCGUUGGAUUAGCUAGUUGGUGGGGUAAAGGCCUACCAAGGCGACGAUCCAUAGCUGGUCUUAGAGGAUGAUCAGCCACACUGGGACUGAGACACGGCCCAGACUCCUACGGGAGGCAGCAGUGGGGAAUAUUGGACAAUGGGCGAAAGCCUGAUCCAGCAAUGCCGCGUGAGUGAUGAAGGCCUUAGGGUUGUAAAGCUCUUUUACCCGGGAUGAUAAUGACAGUACCGGGAGAAUAAGCUCCGGCUAACUCCGUGCCAGCCGCCGCUGUAAAAC